GACGAACGCUGGCGGCGUGCUUAACACAUGCAAGUCGAACGGUAAGGCCCUGCUUUUGUCGGGUGCUCGAGUGGCGAACGGGUGAGUAACACGUGAGUAACCUGCCCUUGACUUUGGGAUAACUUCAGGAAACUGGGGCUAAUACCGGAUAGGAGCUCCUGCUGCAUGGUGGGGGUUGGAAAGUUUCGGCGGUUGGGGAUGGACUCGCGGCUUAUCAGCUUGUUGGUGGGGUAGUGGCUUACCAAGGCUUUGACGGGUAGCCGGCCUGAGAGGGUGACCGGCCACAUUGGGACUGAGAGACGGCCCAGACUCCUACGGGAGGCAGCAGUGGGGAAUAUUGCACAAUGGGCGGAAGCCUGAUGCAGCAACGCCGCGUGCGGGAUGACGGCCUUCGGGUUGUAAACCGCUUUCGCCUGUGACGAAGCGUGAGUGACGGUAAUGGGUAAAGAAGCACCGGCUAACUACGUG
rnacentral:rRNA from 1 species